AGGGAAGACUAAUUGCUCUGUCUACCAUUCUAGUAAUGGUGUUCUUUGUUGAGGUUGUCUCAAGGUUAGGUAUGGUGAAGAAAUGGAGGAGGGGAGAGAGA